rnacentral:rRNA from 1 species
GAUGAACGCUGGCGGCGUGCCUAACACAUGCAAGUCGAGGGGAAACGAUAUUGGAAGCUUGCUUCCGAUAGGCGUCGACCGGCGCACGGGUGAGUAACGCGUAUCCAACCUGCCCAUCACUUGGGGAUAACCUUGCGAAAGUAAGACUAAUACCCAAUGACGUCUCUAGAAGACAUCUGAAGGAGAUUAAAGAUUUAUCGGUGAUGGAUGGGGAUGCGUCUGAUUAGCUUGUUGGCGGGGUAACGGCCCACCAAGGCGACGAUCAGUAGGGGUUCUGAGAGGAAGGUCCCCCACAUUGGAACUGAGACACGGUCCAAACUCCUACGGGAGGCAGCAGUGAGGAAUAUUGGUCAAUGGACGAGAGUCUGAACCAGCCAAGUAGCGUGCAGGAAGACGGCCCUAUGGGUUGUAAACUGCUUUUAUAAGGGAAUAAAGUGAGUCUCGUGAGACUUUUUGCAUGUACCUUAUGAAUAAGGACCGGCUAAUUCCGUGCCAGCAGCCG